AGUAAUGACUGAGUCUAGCGAAGCUAGCCAGCCGGGAGGCAAACUCCCCCUGCCGCCCCGAGGCCUCCUCCAGCCGCUGAGACUGGAAAGCGGACUUGCGACGCCACGCCGGCCGUCGUUGGUGACAAGUGUGACAACACCGUCCCGGUCCUACGGCUGCCUGAAAAUCAUAUGCGUGGUUUUUCCUGUUUCCUGCUCUGUAGCUGACAUCAGGGGAGCAACGUGAACACAGGAAAAUGGAAAUCAACAUUUGAAACUUUUAAAUGGAAGCUUUAUUGGGGUUCCACAUAUGGAAAACUGCAAAUAGCAGAAGUAUGUGACUCAAUAAAUUAUUCUGGAGUGACCACAUCCUCUAACUGCCUCCCAGGACAAGACGGAGAAUGUGAACAAUGCUCCUGAAGGCCCCUUUCCCUCAAAGAAUCACUGCAAUUGAAGGAAAAAUGCUCCAUGUCCCCUCUGCCAGUUGGUGUUUAUCAAAGGACAACGGAGGAAGAGAGACAAAGUGCCUGGAUGUGUGUGUUAAUCAAGAGUUGUCAGGACCCUGCCUCUAAAAGAAAGCGCUAAAAUGAUGCUUUUGACAAGACUUUUCUCAAAGUGGAUGCAGUCUAAGGGUUGGAAAACAAGGCCCAAUCAGGCUAGGUCUGACUUGUCGCCUGCUUUUGUAAAUAAAGUUUUAUUGGCUCACAGACACA
rnacentral:lncRNA from 1 species